CCCCCUUCUUCUAGUGCCAAUUCUGUUGGAACAGAAUUCUGCCGAUGUCGGAGAAGCUGGAGUCGAGGGGAUCACGGCCGCCGUCGGGACCUGCAAGGAAAGUCCAAACUGGAGUUGGGGGUGCUCCGGCAAGACCCUCCGAUGCUCAAGUCAGUAUUUUGCUUCAACAUAAAUGGAGCACUCGAUUCGGAUUUUUAGUUGAGUUUAGAGAUAGUACCUAGAGCUUAGAGGAGAAUGUAUCUGGGGGGUC
rnacentral:lncRNA from 1 species